GAUGAACGCUAGCUACAGGCUUAACACAUGCAAGUCGAGGGGUAACGAGAGGAAAGCUUGCUUUCCUUGUCGACGACCGGCGCACGGGUGAGUAACGCGUAUCCAACCUGCCCCCAACUAGGGAAUAACCUUGCGAAAGUAAGACUAAUACCCUAUAAUUUCCUCAGAUGCCAUCUGACGAGGAAUAAAGAUUUACCGGUUGUGGAUGGGGAUGCGUCUGAUUAGCUUGUUGGCGGGGUUACGGCCCACCAAGGCAACGAUCAGUAGGGGUUCUUAGAGGAAGGUCCCCCACAUUGGAACUGAGACACGGUCCAAACUCCUACGGGAGGCAGCAGUGAGGAAUAUUGGUCAAUGGGCGGAAGCCUGAACCAGCCAAGUAGCGUGCAGGAUGACGGCCCUAUGGGUUGUAAACUGCUUUUAUACAUGAAUAAAGUUAGCCACGUGUGGUUAUUUGUAGGUACUGUAUGAAUAAGGACCGGCUAAUUCCGUGCCAGCAGCCGCAGUAA
rnacentral:rRNA from 1 species